rnacentral:rRNA from 1 species
UACGUAGGUGGCGAGCGUUAUCCGGAUUUACUGGGUGUAAAGGGCGUGUAGGCGGCUCUGCAAGUCAGAUGUGAAAUUUCCGGGCUUAACCCGGACGGGUCAUCUGAAACUGCAGGACUUGAGUACUGGAGAGGAUAGCGGAAUUCCUAGUGUAGCGGUAAAAUGCGUAGAUAUUAGGAGGAACACCGGUGGCGAAGGCGGCUAUCUGGACAGUAACUGACGCUGAGGCGCGAAAGCGUGGGGAGCAAACAGGAUUAGAUACCCGCGUAGU